rnacentral:rRNA from 1 species
UGCGUAGGCGGGUCUUUAAGUCAGGGGUGAAAUCCUGGAGCUCAACUCCAGAACUGCCUUUGAUACUGAAGACCUUGAGUUCGGGAGAGGUGAGUGGAACUGCGAGUGUAGAGGUGAAAUCCGUAGAUAUUCGCAAGAACACCAGUGGCGAAGGCGGCUCACUGGCCCGAUACUGACGCUGAGGCACGAAAGCGUGGGAGCAAACA